GGAUCGAUGGGAGCUUGCUCCCUGAGAUCAGCGGCGGACGGGUGAGUAACACGUGGGUAACCUGCCUGUAAGACUGGGAUAACUCCGGGAAACCGGGGCUAAUACCGGAUAACACCUACCCCCGCAUGGGGGAAGGUUGAAAGGUGGCUUCGGCUAUCACUUACAGAUGGACCCGCGGCGCAUUAGCUAGUUGGUGAGGUAAUGGCUCACCAAGGCGACGAUGCGUAGCCGACCUGAGAGGGUGAUCGGCCACACUGGGACUGAGACACGGCCCAGACUCCUACGGGAGGCAGCAGUAGGGAAUCUUCCGCAAUGGACGAAAGUCUGACGGAGCAACGCCGCGUGAGUGAAGAAGGUUUUCGGAUCGUAAAACUCUGUUGUUAGGGAAGAACAAGUGCCGUUCGAAUAGGGCGGCGCCUUGACGGUACCUAACCAGAAAGCCACGGCUAACUACGUGCCAGCAGCCGCGGUAAUACGUAGGUGGCAAGCGUUGUCCGGAAUUAUUGGGCGUAAAGCGCGCGCAGGUGGUUUCUUAAGUCUGAUGUGAAAGCCCACGGCUCAACCGUGGAGGGUCAUUGGAAACUGGGGAACUUGAGUGCAGAAGAGGAAAGUGGAAUUCCAAGUGUAGCGGUGAAAUGCGUAGAUAUUUGGAGGAACACCAGUGGCGAAGGCGACUUUCUGGUCUGUAACUGACACUGACGCGAAAGCGUGAGCAAACAGGAUUAGAUACCCUGGUAGUCCACG
rnacentral:rRNA from 2 species